GCUAGCAAUUGGACUCCAUAAUCUCUUUCCACACUAGCCGAGCAAUCUUUUCUCAGAUGCCAAGUGCAGGCGUGGGACUUUCACGUAAUCUUUUUCUAUUUCUUUUCUAAGAUAAUUAUUCUCCUUUUUCAAUCUUUUCUAAGUUGAAACCUCAUUAAAUUAAACAUGGUAGAAAAGCAUGUAACCAUCUCCCAAACUUCUCAAAGAUGGUUUAGGGGCCAGAAAAUGGUACGGUUCCUCUUGAGGAGUUCAAGUGGACCCUAUGAUAACUAGUCCCAUUGUAAUAUAUGUGCAUGCUUUCACGUAGGCUGUCCCACUUUACCAAGAUACCACCAAAACUAGCUCAGAUAAAAAUCCCAACUAAUAUAAUCAGAGCCUAUACUACAUCAAAUGUAUUGUUGUUGGUGGAGCUUCUGAGGCUUUAGCAUUAUAAUGGUGGAAAGAUGAGCAAUACUACUCUGACGUAUGACUUUUUCUUCCAGCUUCCUUUACAAAAGUGACUACCUCUGUGGGAGGUUGCUGUGCUACCAAGCCAUUAUUGCUUACCGACUCCACUUGGCUAUGGAUGUGACAGAAGGCUAUGCAGGAAUGUAUCAUGCAACAUUUGGAUGAUGCAUGAGGCAUGUAACCAUUGGCAGUGCUCUCUUUCUUUCGCAGAACCUGUGCUUUUUGAGCAGCACAAUCUACUCUUUGCUUUUAUUAUUUUCGCAGAAUCUUCGCCAUUCUUCUAUGGUGCCGAAUUACAGGAAGGUGCACAUCUUC
rnacentral:lncRNA from 1 species